GACGAACGCUGGCGGCAUGCCUAACACAUGCAAGUCGAACGAACCGUUCGGGGUUAUGGGCGGACGGCGGAUGAACACGUGGUAACGUGCCUGUGAGUUCGGUAUAACUCAGGGUGAGUUGUGUUAAUGCCGAAGGUGCCCAUACGGGGAAAGAGUUAUCGCCUUUAGAUCGGGCUGCGUAUGAUUCGUUGGUUGGGUGAGGUAACGGCUCAUCAAGGCGACGAUGAGUAGCUGGGCUGAGAGGAUGAUCAGCCACAUUGGGACUGAGACACGGCCCAAACUCCUACGGGAGGCAGCAGUGGGGAAUCUUGCGCAAUGGGCGAAAGCCUGACGCAGCCAUGCCGCGUGAAUGAUGAAGGUCUUAGGAUUGUAAAAUUCUUUCACCGGGGACGAUAAUGACGGUACCCGGAGAAGAAGCCCCGGCUAACUUCGUG
rnacentral:rRNA from 1 species